AGUGUUCUUAUAAAUACUUUAAUUACACUGAAGCUUUAUCAGCAGGGAGCCAUGGGAAGUAUGUAGGGCCCUGGAUAAACAUUUUUAAAAGCAAGAACUAUUCAAGUUACACAAAAGACAGGACAGUCAUAACAACAGCAGCAACGACAACCACAACAAACUGGGGAAGCUGUACUUUUUAGGAGAGGAGGAUUGAAUUGUUUUUCUUUUCUUUUUAUGUCCCACUGUUGUUUUGGGGAAAAUACCUAAAAAAUGGGAAAGAUGAAGCCUGAGCAACCGAAGGUACCGAAGAAUUUUAAGUAGUGUCUUAGGAGAAAAUUAAAAGGAAACCUGAUUAACAGUGGUUCAGAGACAUUGAAACUCCGUAUAUUCAGGCUUGGCUAUUAGAUCUAAAAAAUAGAACAAGGAUCUGAGAUUUGAGAUCUGAUACCACAAAUGCCUUAAUGUGGCUGGCAUUCAUGAGAAGGUAUGCAACUAUUGUUGAAAUAUGAAGAACUCAGAAUGUCAAGAGAGAAGAGGCAUGGAACAGUUCUGGGAACACAGCACUGAUAAAACUCUUAGGGAUGAAUUUACCUAUACCUGUGUUUCAGCCUUGUGAUCUGGGUUUGGCACGAUGAAAUGCUACUUUCAGAAAGAUGAGUAUGUCAGAAUCCCUGGUGAUUUCUAACGCUUAUGGAACACAUCACAUAGGAGCAAUUUAGAUGACAAAAAAGAGCACUCUUCAGUCUGGAUUUACACUGUGUUCCUAUUCACCGACACAUCAGCAAACAUUAUAAAUGCCUUGCCUGAGUA
ensembl:lncRNA LINC02240 long intergenic non-protein coding RNA 2240